GACGAACGCUGGCGGCGUGCUUAACACAUGCAAGUCGAACGGAAAGGCCCUGCUUUUGUGGGGUGCUCGAGUGGCGAACGGGUGAGUAACACGUGAGUAACCUGCCCUUGACUUUGGGAUAACUUCAGGAAACUGGGGCUAAUACCGGAUAGGAGCUCCUGCUGCAUGGUGGGGGUUGGAAAGUUUCGGCGGUUGGGGAUGGACUCGCGGCUUAUCAGCUUGUUGGUGGGGUAGUGGCUUACCAAGGCUUUGACGGGUAGCCGGCCUGAGAGGGUGACCGGCCACAUUGGGACUGAGAUACGGCCCAGACUCCUACGGGAGGCAGCAGUGGGGAAUAUUGCACAAUGGGUGGAAGCCUGAUGCAGCAACGCCGCGUGCGGGAUGACGGCCUUCGGGUUGUAAACCGCUUUCGCCUGUGACGAAGCGUGAGUGACGGUAAUGGGUAAAGAAGCACCGGCUAACUACGU
rnacentral:rRNA from 1 species